GGAACACGCUUUUCUGUUGGAUCUGGGUCACCAUAUGCUUAUGGGGUACUUGAUAAUGGGUAUCGUCAUGAUAUGUCAAUUGAGGAAGCUGGCGAGCUGGGUCGCCGGGCCAUUUAUCAUGCUACCUUUCGUGAUGGUGCUAGUGGUGGAGUUGCUAGUGUGUAUUAUGUGGGACCUGACGGCUGGAAGAAGUUAUCCGGG
rnacentral:misc_RNA from 1 species